CACGUAGUUAGCCGGGGCUUCUUAGUCAGGUACCGUCAUUUUCUUCCCUGCUGAUAGAGCUUUACAUACCGAAAUACUUCCCCACUCACGCGGCGUCGCUGCAUCAGGGUUUCCCCCAUUGUGCAAUAUUCCCCACUGCUGCCUCCCGUAGGAGUUUGGGCCGUGUCUCAGUCCCAAUGUGGCCGUUCACCCUCUCAGGCCGGCUACUGAUCGUUGCUUUGGUAGGCCGUUACCCUGCCAACUGGCUAAUCAGACGCGGGUCCAUCUCACACCGAUAAAUCUUUUUCCGUCCGUAUCAUGCGAUACUAGCGGGUUAUGCGGUAUUAGCGGUCGUUUCCAACUGUUAUCCCCCUGUAUGAGGUAGGUUACCCACGCGUUACUCACCCGUCCGCCACUCAGUCACAAGAGUUCUCAUCCGAAGAUUCAAUCUCAAGUGCUUCGUUCGACUUGCAUGUGUUAAGCACGCCGCCAGCCGUUCACUCCUGUAGCCGAGGUAUACCGAAAACUCCUACUGUAACG
rnacentral:rRNA from 1 species